rnacentral:rRNA from 1 species
GAUGAACGCUGACAGAAUGCUUAACACAUGCAAGUCUACUUGAACUUCGGUUUGGGUGGCGGACGGGUGAGUAACGCGUAAAGAACUUGCCUCACAGUUAGGGACAACAUUUGGAAACGAAUGCUAAUACCUGAUAUUAUGAUUUUAGGGCAUCCUAAGAUUAUGAAAGCUAUAUGCACUGUGAGAGAGCUUUGCGUCCCAUUAGCUAGUUGGAGAGGUAACGGCUCACCAAGGCGAUGAUGGGUAGCCGGCCUGAGAGGGUGAACGGCCACAAGGGGACUGAGACACGGCCCUUACUCCUACGGGAGGCAGCAGUGGGGAAUAUUGGACAAUGGACCAAAAGUCUGAUCCAGCAAUUCUGUGUGCACGAUGACGUUUUUCGGAAUGUAAAGUGCUUUCAGUUGGGAAGAAAAAAAUGACGGUACCAACAGAAGAAGUGACGGCUAAAUACGUGCCAGCAGCCGCGGUAAUACGUAUGUCACAAGCGUUAUCCGGAUUUAUUGGACGUAAAGCGCGUCUAGGUGGUUAUGUAAGUCUGAUGUGAAAAUGCAGGGCUCAACUCUGUAUUGCGUUGGAAACUGCAUGACUAGAGUACUGGAGAGGUAAGCGGAACUACAAGUGUAGAGGUGAAAUUCGUAGAUAUUUGUAGGAAUGCCGAUGGGGAAGCCAGCUUACUGGACAGAUACUGACGCUAAAGCGCGAAAGCGUGGGUAGCAAACAGG